AUUGAACGCUAGCGGGAGGCCUAACACAUGCAAGUCGAACGAGUGGCGGACGGGUGAGUAAUAUAUCGGAACGUGCCCAGUAGCGGGGGAUAACUACUCGAAACAGUGGCUAAUACCGCAUCCUAUUGGAGCGGCCCAUAUGGGAUUAGCUAGUUGGUGGGGUAAAGGCUCACCAAGGCAACGAUCCCUAGCUGGUCUGAGAGGAUUAUCAGCCACACGGGGACUGAGACACGGCCCAGACUCCUACGGGAGGCAGCAGUGGGGAAUAUUGCACAAUGGGCGCAAGCCUGAUGCAGCCAUGCCGCGUGUAUGAAGAAGGCCCUAGGGUUGUAAAGUACUUUCAGUCGGGAGGCGUUACCGUCAGAAGAAGCACCGGCUAACUCCGUGCCAGCAGCCGCGGUAAUUC
rnacentral:rRNA from 1 species